GGUGGUGAAAAUGCUCCUGCCAUUGAGGACACUGGGGGAGCAGAUGAUCUCAAGUCAUUGAGAAUGGCAGGCUCGCUCUGAAGGCAGCACAGACACUUGCUGACCAAGAGGAGGCAUUACUGUUCCCAGAUGUGGGCCGCCCUACAGAGGCAGUGAGCCCACAAAUCUGUAUGACACAGGUACUGCCAAGAGGCCAGGCAUGUGACCUAGCCUGGGCUAACUAGACUCGACACCAGCGUUUUGGCCUUUCAACAAUGAAAGAAGAAAUGACUAGUGACCCAAGAGAGUCGAAUUCAAGUCAUCAUCACAAGCCACACAUAUAACUUUGAACUUUCUAAUAGCUACCAAAACAAGGUAAGAAGAAACAGGUCUAGCUAAUUUUAAGUCUAUAUCGUAUUUGACUCCAUAUCUCCAAA
rnacentral:lncRNA from 1 species